CUUAUGGAAGGGCAGUUUAAAGGCUCCGAAAUCAUCUUCCUGAAGGUGGUCUUGACAACUUAUGUAAACAAUUUCGGUCUUAUCAAGUGACCCAGGGUGAAACUGAAGCAGAGGCAAGGACUAGCUGGUUGCAAUUAAAUCCCAACAAAGAAACACCAGUCUUGGUUUGACAUGGAGGUCACAGUACAGCAGAUUUUUGUCAGUGGCUUUUCCCACCUGGCAUUCUUCGCACUAUCAACUUUUCAAGCGGACUUCAGACCUCACACACAUUUCCUGAAGUUGGUGCCCCUUUCCUUAGCGACAGCAAGUGAUGACCUCUUCGGAGCCAGAGAAAUAAGCAGCCAGAAGUCUGACAACUGAACACGUGUGCAAGUUCAUUUGUGUUCCCUGAAUCAUCUGCACUCCAGACACAACUGAAUUUAGGAGCAUCUAGUUUCUAAAGAAAGCUAACACACCUGCUCCAUGCUGCAAAAAUCACAUGAGUUUGGAAUGAGCCUAGUACAUAUUACAGUUAGAAAU
rnacentral:lncRNA from 1 species